rnacentral:lncRNA from 1 species
UUUUUUUUUUUUUUUUUUUUUUUUUUUUUGCUAAAUAUAGCACACUUACAUAAGAGCAGAGCCAAAGGUCAUCACAAUAUAAGGGAAGGAUCUGACAAUAAAGAUAGAAUCCAAAACACGCUAACAGAGAAAAUGAAAUGAGGAAGAAAAAGACUAUGGGGAGAAGAAAACUUUGAGAAAUCUACUAUUGAGCUUCUCUGAGAAAGAUCAGAAAUGCUGGGCAUGGUGACACAAGACUGUAGUCCCUGCUUCUCCACAGGCUAAGGUAGGAGGAUUGCUUGAGCCCAGUUUGAGGUUGUAGUGUGCUAUUAUCAUGCCUGUGAACAGCCACUGCACUCUAGCCUGGGUGACAUAGAGAGACCCUGUGUCAAUAAAAAAAGAAUACUCUAAAAAAUGAACACUCAGAGAACCAAAUGGAGUUCUUUUAAAUUAAAAAUCUGAUAGCAAAAAUGAAAAACUCAGUAGAAUGUUAAGAAGAUAAAGUUAGAAAUUAUCCUAGAAUGCAUAGGCAAAAGGCAAAGAGAAGGGAAAGAAAUAAGAAAGGUUAAGAUUAGAAAGCCAGCCCUGGACAUCUGGGAAACAGGGGAAGAAAUGAAUUAAAUAAUUCAAUUAUAUAUUUUGAGAACUAAAGAGCAUGAAUUUCCACAUUGAAAGUGCUGAGUACAGUGCAAUGGACAAAACCAGAACCACACCAGGGCACGUUGUGAUAUGGAAGACUGAGGACAUAGAGAAGAUCUUACAAGUGCCUAGGAGGAAAUGAAGUUUCACUUAAAGAAUCCAGAAUGAGAAUGGCAUCUGAUUUCUCAGUAGCAACACAUGAAACUGAAAGACAAUGGAAUAAUGUCUUUAAAAUCUGAGGGAAAAUAACUUCCAACAUAGAUUCUCAUACCCAUCCAAAUGUAGUAGUAAAGCGUGGGGGUAAAUGUAUUUCAGACACGUACAAUUUCAAAAUAUUUAUCUUCCAUGUACCUUUUUUCAAGAAGCUUUCAGAAGGUGAAAGCUUUUCCACCAAAAUAAGGACAUAAAUCAAGAA